GAUGAACGCUGGCGGCGUGCCUAAUACAUGCAAGUCGAGCGAACAGAUGAGGAGCUUGCUCCUCUGACGUUAGCGGCGGACGGGUGAGUAACACGUGGAUAACCUACCUAUAAGACUGGGAUAACUUCGGGAAACCGGAGCUAAUACCGGAUAAUAUAUUGAACCGCAUGGUUCAAUAGUGAAAGACGGUUUUGCUGUCACUUAUAGAUGGAUCCGCGCCGCAUUAGCUAGUUGGUAAGGUAACGGCUUACCAAGGCAGCGAUGCGUAGCCGACCUGAGAGGGUGAUCGGCCACACUGGAACUGAGACACGGUCCAGACUCCUACGGGAGGCAGCAGUAGGGAAUCUUCCGCAAUGGGCGAAAGCCUGACGGAGCAACGCCGCGUGAGUGAUGAAGGUCUUCGGAUCGUAAAACUCUGUUAUUAGGGAAGAACAAAUGUGUAAGAAACUAUGCACGUCUUGACGGUACCUAAUCAGAAAGCCACGGCUAACUACGUG
rnacentral:rRNA from 1 species